GCGCGGCGUAUGGGCCUGCCACGUGGCGCCUCUGGUAGGCUGCGUGCGGCGGCGGCGAUGUGUCCGGUGGCGGCGGACGCGUCCGGCCGGCCGCCGCAUGAGAGCCACGGAUGCCUGCCAAGGAGGCGGAUCAGCUCGCCUCCAUCGUCAAUACAGCCGCCGCGCCACCACCCUCCUCCGGUCCUUACUCCCCCUGCAGCCCCAAAAGCUCUGCUGGUUCUUUCGGCGAGAUCCACCGUCUCCUGAGGUCCUUAUCCACCCCAGCUCGCGAGGAAGCCUCGGGAGGAGGGGAGCCCUCGUCGCGAGGAAGCUGCGUAAGGAGGAGCUCAACCGGGCGUCGCCGGCCAGAGAAGGAGAGGCGCGGAUGCCUGCCAGGGAGGCAGAUCGGCUCGUCUCCGCGGCUGGAAAGGGCUCGGUGGUAAGUUUGGCUUUUUCUCAUAUCUCAGCGAGCCCUGCUGGGAUUAUUUGUAGACUUCCUUGCUGAACCCUACAAGGAGCAGACGCAUUCCCAGUUUGCUUCCAGAGGAUAAGGCAGGGGAAGAGUUCCAAUUACAACAUGGGGCUUCAAGUGUCUAUUACUGUGGAACACCAAUAUCCGUGCAUUUUAGUUACGACUAAGUGCCACACCAAUGAAUGUGAAUGUCCGUUCAGGUAAUAAGUAUCACGAUUAGCAAUUUUGGUUUGUCCCCAUAGUCUAUGUGUGUCCCAUGUCCUUUCAGCACCUUCUGCUAUUUUCCUGCAUUUUUCUUCCCUUCUGCUGCAGAUUAAGUGACUGAAAGCAAACAAAUAGUUAUUCUGGACUCUUCAGAUUAUCAAGUACAGUAUACUGUAGCAUAUCAGCUUCUUAAAUUUCUAUUGCAACCUAGCAUAUACCAGCAUAAAAAAGUUUCUUUUGCUCAUCAUGUAUAUUAUGUUCCUCUAAAUCACGUGUACCAUUUUCAGCUAUUAAUAGUGCAGUACUACAUGAAGGCAAUAUGUUAGCAUAUUAGGUACUACUAUUCUUUGCUCUCUAAUUUGUGAGCGCUUAUGGUUUUGCUGCAGUACAGACUCGGCAUCUAUUCUUCUUGGUACAAACUAAUGUUCUAAUAAGGUGUGAUAAAUUUAAUAAUAAGAAGAUAUUGCAGAGAUUAACACAAUGUUUUCCUGCAGUUUUUUCACCUAAAAUCGUCCUUCAACACAAUGAUUUUAUUGUGUUAAUGUCUUUCAAAUCUCAACUUUGUACAUGCAGUGUCCAUCUUGGUUCUGGUGAAUUGAUUUGGGGAACUCUUGAAAUCUGUUUCUUGUAUAUUGGCCAUGAUAACUCUUCACUUGACAUUCUGCAAUGGCUUCCAGCCAGGGUUUUCUUGUUGCUGCUAUUCCUCGUGGAUAUUCAAGAGGCAACUUGGCACCUAAUGUCAACAGCAUGCUUUUUGGUGACGAGUGAAAUGAAAGAAGGAUGCAAUGGAAUUUGUAUUAGGCAUCUGUUCUUCAAAUGAGGCUCCAACCUGAGCAAGGGCAUGGUUUGCAGAUGAUGUAUCUACUUUAUGUGUGUCAGAAGAGCCCUCCGACGCCCAGCCGCUGGUGUCUCUGCCCGAAGAAGGCUCAUGGUUCCCCACCUCUCUACAACUCAUAUUAAAAUUUUGCUAUUCCAGAGAAGUUUAGAGAUCCACAACCUUAGUAGAGAUGAAACAAUCAAUCAGCUGAGAUGCAUCACAUGAUCUUUUUCUCUUCACUUUGAUGGGUAUUGAACCCAUAGAUCAGCUUAUCAAUGGAACUCUUAUCAGCGUUGAGAAGGUGGCACAAAAUCUCAUACGCAGGGCGAUCAGCUAAGAAGCAUCAGGAAGGACUUUUAGGAUGGUACCGUGGUCAAAUGCAUCCUAGGAUAGGUCCUUUAAGAAUUAUGGUGUGUUUCCCUCCUUUUGUUUACCAUAGGCACAGAGGUUUAGCCUCAAUUUAUUAUGAUAUUUUUGUUUAGAGUAGAUGCAGAACUGAGACUUACCCAGGUUGUGAGAGCUGGUGAUGAUUCUAUUAAAAGUCCCUUGUUGCCUGCAACGUUUGUCUCUGUAAACAGCAUAACUAACGUCGUAUGGUUUCCAAUGUGACUAAGAUGUAAAUUCUUCCUUGGUGUAGUUUCUAAA